GGAAGAAACAAAUGACGGUACCAUUAUUAAGCCCCGGCUAACUCCGUGCCAGCAGCCGCGGUAAUACGGAGGGGGCAAGCGUUGUUCGGAUUUACUGGGCGUAAAGGGCGCGUAGGCGGUUUUGUAAGUUACUUGUGAAAUCUAUGGGCUUAACCCAUAACUGCCAAGUAAUACUGCGAGACUCGAGUGCAGAAGGGGCAACUGGAAUUCUUGGUGUAGCGGUGAAAUGCGUAGAUAUCAAGAGGAACACCUGAGGCGAAGGCGGGUUGCUGGGCUGACACUGACGCUGAGGCGCGAAAGCUAGGGGAGCAAACAGGAUUAGAUACCCUGGUAGUCCUAGCCUUAAACGAUGGAUGCUUGGUGUCUGGGGUUUUAUAGUCCCCGGGUGCCGUCGCUAACGCUUUAAGCAUUCCGCCUGGGGAGUACGGUCGCAAGACUGAAACUCAAAGGAAUUGACGGGGACCCGCACAAGCGGUGGAGCAUGUGGUUUAAUUCGACGCAACGCGAAGAACCUUACCUGGGCUAGAAUGCUCCGGACAGCCCCAGAGAUGGGGUCUUCUGGGUAACACCAGACCGGAUGCAAGGUGCUGCAUGGCUGUCGUCAGCUCGUGUCGUGAGAU
rnacentral:rRNA from 1 species